AUGUGGGAUUAAAAUGCAUUAUCUAUCUCUAUAUAUAUUGAUAUCUAAUGCAUAUCUAAAGAUAUCAAUAUAUAUAGAGAUAGAUAAUGCAUUUUAACCCCACAC